GACAGAGGGUGCAAACGUUGUUCGGAAUUACUGGGCGUAAAGCGUGCGCAGGCGGCCAUCCAAGUCAGUGGUGAAAGCCCGGAGCUCAACUCCGGAAUUGCCAUUGAAACUGUUUGGCUCGAGUACGAGAGAGGUGAGUGGAAUUCCCAGUGUAGAGGUGAAAUUCGUAGAUAUUGGGAGGAACACCUGUGGCGAAAGCGGCUCACUGGACCAUAACUGACGCUGAUGCACGAAAGCUAGGGGAGCAAACAGG
rnacentral:rRNA from 1 species